AACGUAGGGUGCAAGCGUUAUCCGGAUUCACUGGGUGUAAAGCGCGUGCAGGUGGUCUCGUCAGUUGGACGUCAAAUCUCCCGGCUUAACUGGGAGAGGCCGUUCAAUACUGCGAGACUGGAGGGCAGGAGAGGGAGGUGGAAUUCCCGGUGUAGUGGUGAAAUGCGUAGAUAUCGGGAGGAACACCAGUGGCGAAGGCGGCCUCCUGGCCUGUUUCUGACACUGAGACGCGAAAGCUAGGGGAGCGAACGGG
rnacentral:rRNA from 1 species